GGCUCAGUGGCAGAGCACUUGCCUUGCAUGCAUGAGGCCCUGGGUUCGAUUCCUCAG
rnacentral:tRNA from 1 species